GACUAUUAUGAUCCUCAACCUCAUCCUUAGUGUUAUACGGUUGUUUCAACCUUUCUAGUAGCCCAAAAUGAAAACUUUCCCGUACUGUCUAUUUGGCUGUUAUAAGAUACAUGCUUAUACGAGUGCUCUCUCUGUGGUUUUCUGAACUUAUAUUAACCACUUUUCCUGAUUGCUUAGGCUUGACGGACAAACAUCGGCGAAGUCUAGGCAGGAACUUGUGGAAAGGUUCAAUGACCCGGAUAAUACUUCUGUGCAAUGUGUACUCAUCUCCACAAGAGCAGGAUCUUUAGGGAUUAAUCUUCCUGCCGCCAAUAGAGUAAUAAUUUUUGACGGCUCCUGGAAUCCGACCCAUGAUUUACAAGCUCUCUUUCGAGCAUGGAGGUGCUUUCUCUAUCCAAAACUACAUAAGGAUGUUUAUUAGAAGAACAUAUGCGCAUGAAAUACUAGUCAUUUGGUAUGCUGUGUUGAGUUGAGCUUUGUUGAUUGCCUGAAAUUGUUUGAGUUGACGUCUCCAUACGCUCAUCACGAGAGAUGUUCUUGUAGGUUUGGACAGAAGAAGAACGUGUACGCCUACAGACUUCUGGCUUCCGGGACAAUGGAGGAAAAAAUUUACAAUCGCCAGGUACGUCCUGACCAUUACGCUUAGUAUCUGAAAAAUGAACAGGCUACAUUUCAAUGAACAAUAGUUUAAGAAGGCGUGUAUUCGAGAGAUUUCACUGCUUUUGGCAGAGCUGACGAGACUUUAUAAGAAUGUCUCUUUUAUGAUGAGGUUACUGUGUACGCCAUAGGAACAACCCUGAGAAGUUCAAUGCUUUCCGAGUGAAAAAAUGGAUAUACUCUUGAAAUCAUGUACAUGAAAUCGGAAGUUGAACUGAAAUUACUUGUAUGCUCUGCAGUUAUCAGAGCAAGUUGCGACUUGUAUGGAUUUGUUUCUUGCGCACUGCUUGAUUGUUCACUGUGUUAUAUACUUUCAGGUUGCGAAAGAAGGUCUGGCUGCUAGAGUGCUUGACGAGCACCAGGUCGG
rnacentral:lncRNA from 1 species